UCUCAAAUCCAACUGAAUCCCAAUACAUAUACUUAGGAUUCAAUAAACCAAGAUACGAUUCAUUCAAUCUCAUAUUUACAAAGGUCUCUUAAUCGAAGGUGCCCCAAUGCCACGGGGGUAAUUAACAAUAGAUGCUUACAUCUAUUGGAAACCAUGGACCUGCAAUACUUGAUACAAAUACUAAUCUGAAUCAUGAAUACAACCCCACGGCAAAACCCAUCGACCGUGCGAGAUACGUCAUUCGUGAUGGCAGACAGAUACUAAAUGGAUAUAGUUUCUGAUAUCGGUAUAAAAAAAAAAAUCUCGAUGAAUUUAGAUUCGGACAUGAAUUUUGUCUUUUCCAGACCCGAAUCCGAUCCAAACACAAAUUGAUUUUACAUUAUAUAAUAUAUGUGAAUGUUUGAUAUUAUAUUUUAAUUUGUAUUUAAAAAUUUAGAUUUAAUGUAAUAUGUUUUGAAAUAUGAUAAAAAGAAAUAAUUAUUUUGGGUUAGGGUUUUUGAGUUCAAAUUUAGAUUUCGAAUUUUUUUUGUCAGAUUUAGGUUUGGAAAUGGAUUUUUAAAAUCCGUUGGAGUCGGGUUUGGGUUUGAAUUUUGGAUUUUAUAGUCGGGUUUGGAUUUAGAUUUUUGAAAAU
rnacentral:lncRNA from 1 species